UGUUCGCUCAGCAGGUUAGAGUGUGGGACGCUCGCAAAGCUUUUUUCCCCCGUCCGUCGUGUCUUUUCCUGUGUGAACUCUGCCGCUCUCAACAGCAGCACUGGCUAUGAGCUAGCUCCUGCUAGCUCCAACAACCAUCUCUCAACUGCUACAAGGUCCAACUUGACACACAACUUGAAUCCAACCAGACUGAACACUGACUCCAGGGACAGACGAGCCUGAAGGACACAGCUGUGAUGACCAUGUUCUGUCUCUUAUGGCAAAGCAGAAAUAUAAAACACUGGGUUCUUAUCUAAAGUGUAUCAAAUCAGAUCUCCACCAUGUUGCUGCUGAGGACAUCAGGUGCUGCAGUUCUUCAUCUAUGAAGAGAAAAAACGCACUGUUAAAGAAUGUUUUGUGUUGUGUAUAAAGCACAACAGAUUUCAGAUAGAACUGUUGUACUGUGGUCUUGGUUUAUAUCCUCAUGGUGAAAUGUACAUAUUUUAAGUCCCUUCUGAUAAAAGUGCUGAAAGAAAUACAACAUUGUACAAAUACAUAAAAUGUCUUUCUACCUCAUCAGUACUAUUCAAGGUGAUAAUCUCCCACAGACCUAUUGA